CACUCCCGCACGGGAGAGUCCCCGGGCCCGGCCCGGGGCGCCGAAGGGGCAAUUCCUCCCCGGAACCUCUCAGGCCUCAGGACCGUGCGGGUCAG
rnacentral:ncRNA from 2 species